rnacentral:rRNA from 1 species
UUUGCAUAUUCGUGCUCUUGGGUGUACUUGCUCGUAUGGUUGGUUAACAUCAAUUUUGGUGGUCAUAAAAUGACUGGAGGAAUGUAGCUUCGAUCUCGUAUUGAAGUGUUAUAGCCUUCGGUAGAUGUGAUGACUGAGAUUGAGGAUUGCAACGGAUACCCCUCGGGGCUACCUGUCUGAUCUCUGAUCGUUGCUCUGGUGCCGAAAGCUUGCUUACGGUUGUCAAAGUCGAUGGUCAAUAGGUUAGAAUGGGUUAAA